rnacentral:rRNA from 1 species
GACGAACGCUGGCGGCGUGCUUAACACAUGCAAGUCGAACGGAAAGGCCUCUUUCGGGGGGUACUCGAGUGGCGAACGGGUGAGUAACACGUGAGUAACCUGCCCUUGACUUUGGGAUAACUUCAGGAAACUGGGGCUAAUACCGGAUAGGAGCUCCUGCUGCAUGGUGGGGGUUGGAAAGUUUCGGCGGUUGGGGAUGGACUCGCGGCUUAUCAGCUUGUUGGUGGGGUAGUGGCUUACCAAGGCUUUGACGGGUAGCCGGCCUGAGAGGGUGACCGGCCACAUUGGGACUGAGAUACGGCCCAGACUCCUACGGGAGGCAGCAGGGGGGAAUAUUGCACAAUGGGUGGAAGCCUGAUGCAGCAACGCCGUGGGCGGGAGGACGGCCUUCGGGUUGGAAACCGCUUUCGCUCAUGACGAAGCUUUGUGUGACGGUAGUGGGUAAAGAAGCACCGGCUAACUACGUG